GUAAGUAAAUUUUUAUUAAGUCUUUUUUCUUUUCGAUAACAUUUUUCGUGUCUUACAUACAAUGAGAACAAUAUAAUUCUUAGAGCUAUAUUUGUCUUACUCUAAUAACAAAAAUAGGAUAUUACACAACAAUGUAGAUAAAUGAAAUAGGAUAUGUAUUUUCUACAAAAUGAAUAUGAAAACAAACAAGACUUGCUUUCGGUCUUUACUUUGGCUAACAGAGCGAAUGUCUGUAAAUAACAAACUUAAGACUAAAUAACACUUAAAAACAUAAAUAACAAAUAUUCUGUUAAUAACAUUGACAAACAGAAUGUAAAUAAUAUAUUGUAGACGACAGCAUAUAAAUGCAGAAUUUGUGUAUCAAAACAAAACAUAAAUGUAGACAUAUACUAUGUAGCUAAGUGUGUAAGUUAAAAAUACGAAAGCAUAUAAAUGCAAUAAUUUCCAAUGAGAACGGAACAUAUAGUCAAAAUAAAAGCCUCUGUGUACACCAGGUGCUGAUUUCAAAUAGAAUGAUGGCAAAGCAUAAGGAUCCGGAUCAUUAUUGAUGUUCUCGUGGAGAAUUCCUAUCGGAGAGAGGUACGGAAAGGAAGUCCAAGUUGUCAGAUUCUCUUGUUGAAAGAUUUGUUCAAUAAGAAUGUUGUCAUGUGUUGAAAGCUUUUCAACAAAACUUUUUUGUUGUACCAUGGCAUAUCGGCAAAAAGUAUUACACGUUCAAAGAUUUCAAUCUCCUUGGCCACCGUUGGCGACAUAGUGAACCAAAUGGGAAACCCGUAGAUGAGGACCGAUCUGAUUGCAACUUUAUAAAUUAGAAGUUUUGUCCUUAUUGAUGGUAGGUGGAAGAAUAUCACAGGAUGCAGCUUCAAGGUCUCUACGAAAUAAGUCCCAAUUGGUGUUUUUGUAAGAUGUUAUUACUGACGGAUUUCUAAGAUGUAGAUUUCCUGAUCCGAAUUCCAGUUUUAAAUUCAGUGGAAAAUGAUCUGAAAAAGUUGGAAGACUUUUGACUUGAUAAUUAGGAUGUAGACUGUCUAUUAUGUUCGUGCUUAAUAAAAAGUGGUCAAGGUAGGACGAACCAUUGGGAUAGGAAGGGGAUACAUCGCAAACUCGUUUCACGUCUAAACAAUUACCUUGUAA